AUGAGCGCAGCCGGAGCGGGCGCCGCGGGCGCUGCGGCCACCGAGCCCCGAGGCUGGCGGGGACCCGGCCGCCCGCACUUACCGGGAUGCGCCGGGAGGACGCGCGCGCGGCGGGGGCUGUCCCCGGCCCUCCGCCUCCCCGCGCCGAGGCCCGGUCUCCGGCUCCCGCUCGCGCUCGCGCUCGCCGCGGCUCCCGCCGGCCGGGGCUGGGCUCGGGAGGAGACUGAGCCGCGGCGAGCCCUGCGCGCCGCCUCCGGUGCUGCCCGGCCCCCGCCCGCGCGCCCCUCCCUCUCGUCUCUGCGCGGGGAGCGUGGCCGCAGCGCGCUCGGCUCCCGCGCCCUCCGCUCCACGCCUCCCGGGCGCAGAGGCCGCGCCGGCAGCCGUCUCUUAGGAGAUUUCUCCGCAGUGGGGACUGGGGUCAGGCUUUGCAGGCGAGCAAGGACGCAGAGGAGAAAUCGUACAGGUGGCAGGGGAGGAUAUGGUUGCCAGUCUCUCUGGGGACAUAUUCUUAUAGCUCUUGGCAAGAAAAGAAAAAGGAACCCAAGAAGAACUAUGAAUGGACUGACUUACAGGACACAGCUGUCCUGACCCAGCACUGUGGCCAGGUGUAUGAGAUAAGCACAGUCUACAUUCCCAGUUUUGCCUUUCCCUUCAGUGCUGGGAGAAGAGAGAAGAGAAAAGAAAACAGGAAAAGGAGACAAGGUAUUUUUAUAUCAGUUCUCUCAUCCCCGAGUUCCUUCUCUCACUUUAGUGUGGAUGCCACAAUUAUGAAUUUUUCUAUUCAAGUAGGCCUUGAUAACACCUCCUGGGAAAUGUCUUGAGGGUGCCACAUUCAAGACCAAAUGGCCAAUGUAAUAGUGUUUCAGAAUUUAGGAAUUGGGGAAGUUACAGCUAAUUUUGUUCAGUGAAAGCAUACAUACUUCUCUUUGUGACAUCUUCAGUGAAAACCUACAUAAAAUGUUAUAUUUCAAAGCCCUAAAGAUGAAAUAAAUUUUUUAAAAUCCCCUAUGAGGUAGUACUGGUAAAUUCACAGCUAUUUUAACCCCGUGAAGUACACAUCAUCACAUUCCUCAUGAAAAACUCCAGCAAGAGCCCCUGGCAUGGUUUGAAUAUAAACAUGUAGCAACUAAAUGACUUUAUCAAGCUACAAUCCCCUGUGCUCAGCAUUUAGAGGAAAUCAGCAGCUUAACCAGGUUUUUUUUUUUUUUUUUUUUUUUUUUGCUGAGCAACGGGGGGCCAAAAAUAAAACACUAUUACAUCAAACUGCAGACAAACAAAAAUCUGACUAAGUUCGCUAUCUUCUCAGGGCAUUUCUGUACCUAAUGAGCACAGCUGAGCCCAAAGGCAUCAAGAGGUUUCUCACCAUUAGGCAAUGGGGUGGAAGAUUAUCUAAUAUUCCUGGGUGGGCAUCCUCAGUUCUUUUGGGUAAAAUAGGGGGAAGAUCAAAAGAGGAUGCAAACAUUUUUUAAUCAAUGAAAGAGAGAAUGGAUACAUUCCUCUGACCUUUUCAAUUGCAGAGAAGAUAUAUUAUCUGCAUUAAUUAGCAUGUUGAAAAAUUCCUUCUGGAUUGCUGAGUGCCUUCCUAUGAGUAGUGGGAAAUAUGUUUGUAAUACGGCAUACAGCAAUCUGUCAUAAAGAGCUAAUUUUUUUGGACAUCCUCUCUGAGUAUGCAUGAAAUGUGAAGCAGCUUAGCGAGUUAUGUUGCAUUAGUCUUUCUAAUUGGUGAAAAAGGUUAACAUGUGUCUAACAACAUUAGUGCACAGCGCUUGGGUUUUGAAAUGCCAGUUUGCUUAAGAUACUGAGUGUUGUUGAACAGAAAUUCUUCGGGAGGUAAUAUAAAUCAUCAUCUCUAGUAUAGUUCUUACUUGUUGAACACUAAACAAAUGAUUUCAUUUAAUUCUUGGAGGGAAAUACAACUAGUAUCAUCAUCAUUGAACAGAUAGCAAAAAUGGAGGAUUGAAAAGAUUAAGUAAUUUGCCCCUAAAACACAAAGAAGGUAAAGUCAGGAUUUAAACCCAGUCAGUCUGACUCCCAGAGCCAAUACCCUUUACCACACUUCAGUAUUCCCUCAGGUUUUGUCCUUACUGGGCACCAUUGUGAGGGUUACUUAGCUUUACUCUGCCUCCAUUUCCUUGUCUGCGAAUUAGAGAAUAGUUUUGUGUUAUUGGGAUUGUGAGGAUUGAAUUAUGUACUGGCUAUAAAACAUUCAGUAAAAUGCCUUAUUACACAUACCAUGCUAUUAUUAUUCUUUUAAAUUAUCACAUUCAAGGGUUGGGAAGAAUCUAAUUAUCACCUGCUUUUCUCAUUUGGUGAGGAGGAGGAAUAACUGAGUAAAUGUUAUUUAUUGCCAGCAGAGCUCACAUUCAUGGUCCUAGAAUGCUGGAACUUGGAAGACUCCACAUUAAGCCUUCUUUGCAGUAACUGGUGAGGAAACACUGAGACCCAAAGAGCCAAGUCAUCCUUGGGGUCAUAGACUGGGAGAACUAUGCCCUUGGUGAAACUAUUUUCAAAACUACGAAUGAGCCUCUCCAU
rnacentral:lncRNA from 1 species